AGUCAACACAAGCAGGGCUGCAAAACACAGCUGGGCGCAGAUGCUGCCCCAGCCUGGAGAGUUUUUGUCCCCCAUCAGUCACUCUCUCUGAGCUCGAAAUCCGUCCCCCAUGGGCAGCCAACAUCGUGGGCUACCAAGAACCACAUCCGCUGGGUACAAACCGCCCCCUACCAGGCAGCUUGCCUCAAUUUCUGCGGCCCUGGGGGAUGGCCCUGCUGCAAUCUCGCCGGUGGUUGCCAGGGGACCCCAGCCCUGGGUGUGCAACAGGACCAGCUGUGGAGGGAGCUUGUGGAAGCCGAAGCACGAGGCCAGAGGCGUUGGGCUGAGAACUGGGGUUUCCUGAAAGACUAUGACCCUCUGGGAAAUAAGAAGGAGCCUCAGGAGCUGCCUGCCAGUGUGCCCUUCUUCUCAGAUACCUUCCCCUGCUCUACCAACCGGGAGGUGGGCAGCAGGGUGGACACACCCCUGGGGAAAGCCCUCGGCCACAUGGACUUCUUCUUUGUGGAAGGCACUCGGAAGAGGAAGCCGGAUGAUGAGCUGCAGCCAGUGUAGUCUCGGGGCUGGCCACAGCAGGCAGUUUCUUGGACCAACAGGUUCCCGGUUGGGCAGCACCAGAGAGUGCCAGGGCCAGCUGAACCAAGAGAGCCUGCAGGAGACUACGGCAUACAGUGUCUGCUUUACUCUGGAGGCCACAGCCAGCCCCACAUACCCUCUACCUCCGCCUCAUCUUCAGACUCUCCAAGAAGGUGCCUGCUUCUGACCUCCACUGUCACAUCCACAGGCUGAGAGGGGAUGGAGACGGAGGGUCCAGCCACCACUGUCUUCUUUCUCUGGAUCCAGAACAAGGAAAUCUAGAUGAGCCGGGUGGCACCAAACCUCCACAUCAUCACUGGAAAAGUCUAGGGAGCUUCGUCCAGGACAGUCAAACAGGGCAGCGCAGAGCCCACAGGCUGGGUGGCACCAGGGGACGAGAACGGCAGGAAGGGCCAUGGCAGAGGAUCUCCCUUCAGUUCUAACCACUGCUUCUUUGAGAGUACUUGCCUCCCUCUGCUCUGUGACAGAAGCUGCCCAUCUACUCCAGUGAUAAAGGCACGGCGUGACCUUUAGGCCUCUUCCUGUACUAGAAAUGAUGAGGCAGUGUAGGAGGGACACAUGAGCCAGCCUGAGUGUGGGACGGUGAUAGGCAGCCUGUUUUGGUUGAAUGAGGCUUGCUCCGGUGACCCAGUAGAGAACUCCACAAGGGACAGAAAAGUGAGCCAUGUUCCCAGAACCAGGUGUGUGAAACCACAGAGCUCCCAACUUCAUAAUUCUGUGACUACCAGUCACGCAGACAAUGUCCCAAGCUUCUGGUAUUCUGGCUAGACUCCACCCUCACAGUUACCUGACUAUAGCCAGGUAUGCUCCUCCCCACAGUUACCUGGCAACAGCAAGAUAGCUCAGCCCACUAUAAAAGGAGCUGCUUGGUCCCUCCUUGCUCUCUUUAAGCUCUCACCUUUCUUACUCUCUAGCCCUCCUUCUCUCUUUCCUUUCCCCCCUCUCUCCACGUGGACAUGGCCAGCCUCUCUCUCUCUAUCUUCUCUUUUUCCCCUGCCUUUCUACAAUAAAGCUCUAAAACCAC
rnacentral:lncRNA from 1 species